rnacentral:lncRNA from 1 species
GUCUACAGUUGAGGAGACAGAGGCUCAAGCAGGGCAAGUCCUCUACCCAAGGGCACACAGCCCAGAGUGGGGAGGAUGGAGCCUGGUCAGCCUGGUCUGGUUAAUAAGGUCUUUUCAGGGUUGUGCAAGGCCCCCUACCUGCCCCUGACCAACUUGCCACAUUGAAAAGUGUGUGCUUGGCUUAUCCAACACCACCUUGUUGUCUAUACAACUACAGCAAGGAGCAUGGAGAGGUUUAGAAGAACCCUUGCCCUCCUUCAUUCAUUCUGCCCUGACUCAGCCCUGAGCUCUGCAAAGAUGCAUGCUCAGCACAAAUACAUCUUCACAUCUUAGUCCAAAUUCUGGAAAGUCUGAAUGCUCACAACCAGUGUGUUUUGCUGAGAAAACGGGCUGAUGACAAGUCAGCCUACUCUGUCCCUGUACAUGUGUGGCCU